rnacentral:rRNA from 1 species
ACGCUAGCGGUAGGCAUAACACAUGCAAGUCGAGCGGUAACACUUCGGGUGACGAGCGGCGAACGGCUGAGUAACACGUUGGAACCUGCCUCAAACUCAGGGAUAGCCUCGAGAAAUCGGGAUUAAUACCAGAUGCCCCAGUAAUGGGAAAGCUUUUGCGGUUUGAGAGGGGCCUGCGGCGUAUCAGGUAGUUGGUGAGGUAAUGGCUCACCAAGCCAUUGACGCGUAGCUGGUGUGAGAGCACGACCAGCCAGAAUGGGACUGAGACACGGCCCAUACUCCUACGGGAGGCAGCAGUGAGGAAUCUUCCGCAAUGGGCGAAAGCCUGACGGAGCCAUACCGCGUGUAGGAUGACACCUUUCGGGGCGUAAACUACUUUUCUGAAGGAAGAAGUUCUGACGGUACUUCAGGAAUAAGGGUCGGCUAAUUACGUGCCAGCAGCCGCGGUAAUACGUAAGACCCAAGCGUUAUCCGGAAUCACUGGGCGUAAAGCGAUCGAAGGCUGACCUGUAAGUGAGAUGUUAAAUACCCACGGCUCAACUGGGGUGCUGCAUUUCAAACUGCAGGACUAGAGGAAUGCAGAGGUAACUGGAAUUUUCAUUGUAGGGGUUAAAUCCGUAGAUCAUGAAAGGAACACCGAAAGCGAAGGCAUGUUACUGGGCAUUUCCUGACGCUGUGCGAUCGAAAGCGUGGGGAGCGAAAGGGAUUAGAUACCCCUGUAGUCCACGCCCUAAACGAUGGAUACUCGGCGUUCGGAUUUUAAUCGAUCUGAGUGCCCAAGCUAACGCGUUAAGUAUCCCGCCUGGGAAGUACGGCCGCAAGGCUAAAACUCAAAGGAAUAGACGGGGAUCCACACA